AGCCCGGUGGUGUAGCGGCCAAGCAUAGAGGCCUUUGGAGCCUUUGACCCUGGUUCGAAUCCAGGCCGGGCUA
rnacentral:tRNA from 1 species